GGGUCCGUGGCGCAGCUUGGACAGCGCGUCGGCCUUCUAAGCCGGAGAUCCCGGGUUCAAAUCCCGGCGGACCCG
rnacentral:tRNA from 1 species